AACAUGGCAACAUCGCAUGUCCCGUCGACUUUCACAAUCGAGCAAUCGAGCCGAUGGAAAAUUUUUUGUGGAUCAUAGUGAUCGUUAAAAAAUUAUAAUAUGGUGACCACGUUGCGAGUGUGAGUGUCGGGUAAAACCUAAAACUGUAUAAAAGUCGUAAGUGGUAUAAGACUAUCUGUUGCCUGUUGGCUCGCAGCUUUCUUUUCGGUUACGUUUCGUCGACGAGUAGACUCGCUUUGCUAAUUUGCUUUUUUAAAAGGUUCUAGAAUCCAGACCUACAUUUUGUUGUUUUAGUUUAAAGAAUGAUGGCGAAAAUAAUAACAGGUAUUGCAUUAAUCUUCUCCUGUUUCUAAUUAUUUGGAGCAUGCCACUACCAAGCCCGUUUUAACCUCCAUUCUCUCUGCCUCUAUUAUAUCAAAGGACAAAAGCAUCAGAUCUCGAAACACACAGGCGAUGAAACACAAUAGAUGCCCGAUGUGGUUCAAGAUUUCCAUCAUGGCCUAAGAAUAAUUUGCCGGCUUUAAUCUACCUUUUGAACCAUUCAAGAUGAAGAAGAAUGUCUCGUUUUUCUGUAAAUUUCACUUCUAAUCGUUGAGGGAAUAUUCGCUUUGUAAAUUCGAACCCUCUGUGCAUGGCCAGCUGAGAAGAAAUGGUGACCAAAGCCGGCAGCAUUUGCAAAACGGGCAGGGAGGUCGCCACAUGUUUUCCCCUAUUGCGUAUUCGCAAGACAGUGGAAACUCCCAAAUUGUCGCACCCCAUCAAGAUUUCACAUUUCAAAUAACAUGGUGUUUUUAAAAGGUUCCUGACUGCAUCAAAUUGUUAUUUUUUAGUUGGAGUGGUGAAGAAGAAAGUGCCCCAACCCUUUUCUGUUGGAACAGUAGCUCUAAUGUAUCGAGACAUCUUGGGUGAAAGUUUUUCCAAGGUUGGUUGGUGUCUGAG